UCCCAAUUAAGGUUCGCCUAGAUUGAUUUACCUUUGCCUUGACCAACCGGUUUACUUUAUGUUGGGUAGCUCAUGCUUAGUGCUUACUUGGUACAUGGUGGUUUAACUAAACACAAUGCUUAAUCUUGCUUUACUUCUGUUAUACCUUUCAUUAAGACAAGAUCAUUAUUUGUUAAUCGGAACAUGGAGCGACCACCCAGGAAAACAGUGCUACCACAAGACUAAAUGGCUCUGAUCUUGGCUGAUUAAUUAGAAACUCUAGCUUGGGGUUACCUUACCGGAAGGGCAAGAGGGGAGGCGUUGAUGGGAUAUAGCACUCGCUCUCUUGGGAAGUGGGCUUGGCUAAGACACUAUACCCACUAGGGGACUGCUAUGUUUCGCUUCGACCUGAAACCUUAGCGGGUUACCACAUUGCUAGCGAAUCUUUGUAAAGGCCUCGUAGCGUCCCUAUGCAAUCACACCUCGGAAGUGUGGUAUGGUG
rnacentral:lncRNA from 1 species